GGGACAGAGGGAAAAAAAUACCCAGGACCUGGGAGUGUUCAAAGCAGUGUGCAAAAGUUGGAUAAGCAUGCAUGAUUGCUUGCCUAUGUGUUUUAGAAACAAUUAAGAUAUGGUAUAACUGAAACUUUCUUUUGAGCUAGAUUUAACUGACAAUAGGUUUAGCAGCAAGUGAUAGUCCAGAAACUGUACAGACUUCAUGUCCUGUGAACAAGGCUGCAUUACAUUCCCCCACAUUGAGCAAGUCUCACUGAGCUUGGACAAACAAGUCCUACUUUUGCCAGGCUUUUUGUAGCAGCUAGUGUUUAAAUAUGGGGUUGUAGGGCAGUGGUGGCCACUUACUGUGUGUGUG
rnacentral:lncRNA from 1 species